rnacentral:rRNA from 1 species
CCUACGGGUGGCAGCAGUCGAGAAUCAUUCACAAUGGGGGAAACCCUGAUGGUGCGACGCCGCGUGGGGGAAUGAAGGUCUUCGUAUUGUAAACCCCUGUCAUGUGGGAGCAAAUUAAAAAGAUAGUACCACAAGAGGAAGAGACGUCUAACUCUGUGCCAGCAGCCGCGGUAAUACAGAGGUCUCAAGCGUUGUUCGGAAUCACUGGGCGUAAGGGGUGCGUAGGCUGUUUCGUAAGUCGUGUGUGAAAGGCGCGGGCUCAACCCGCGGACGGCACAUGAUACUGCGAGACUAGAGUAAUGGAGGGGGAACCGGAAUUCCCGGUGUAGCAGUGAAAUGCGUAGAUAUCGGGAGGAACACGCGUGGCGAAGGCGGGUUACUGGACAGUAACUGACGCUGAGGCACGAAGGCGAGGGGAGCGAAAGGGAUUAGAUACCCUAGUAGUC